rnacentral:rRNA from 1 species
GUGCCAGCAGCCGCGGUAAUACCGGCAGCCCGAGUGAUGGCCGAUGUUAUUGGGCCUAAAGCGUCCGUAGCUGGCCAUGCAGGUCCACUGGGAAAUCCACCCGCUCAACGGGCGGCCGUCCGGCGGAACCUGUGUGGCUUGGGACCGGGGGGCCUGAGGGGUACGAUCGGGGUAGGAGUGAAAUCCUGUAAUCCCGCUCGGACCGCCGAUGGGGAAACCACCUCAGGAGAACGGAUCCGACAGUGAGGGACGAAAGCCAGGGUCUCGAACCGGAUUAGAAACCCCAGUAGUCC